GGUUAAUUAGCUCAAUUGUAUAGAGCAAUAGUUUCCUAAACUAUAGGUUAGGGGUUAGAAUCCCCUAUUAACCAC
rnacentral:tRNA from 1 species